UUCUCGCCUCCGGGGCUCUCUUGCGCUCACACUCCCACCGCCGCAUAUCCGAGUAGAGCGCCACGAACUCCACGAGCUCUCCGCCCAGCGAGACUGUCCGAUGCCCCCUCCUUCACCCGCCUCGCAAGUGCGCACUUGCGAUGCUGGCGCCGCGUAGUCGCCCACGCGCGGGACGGUGAGUGAGAUGGCGCGCUACUUCCGCAGCAGCAACCUCGCCUCUAGGAUCUUCGACCGUCAGCUCAUCUCCCCGCUCCCUGGCGCUACCGUUAACACGAUUAGACAGUUUUAUGAAAAUUUGGUCCCAAGCUAUACUAUAUAUGACAUAGAUUGCCCAGAUUAUUCGUUUCGCAAGUUCACUGAUGAUGGGAAAUAUCUUGUGGCUUUUAGCCGAAACCAUCAAGAUUUGAUUGUAUACCGUCCAAUCUGGUUCACAUAUUCAUGCAAUGAAGAAUGUGAAACUCAUGAGCUUCCGCCAAAGGCAAAGAAGUUUGACAGCUUCUUUAAGCAGCUUUAUUCAAUUCCUCUUGCAUCUAGCAAUGAGUAUAUUUGCAAGGACUUUUUCCUGUACAUGGAAUGCCAUCGAUUUGGUUUAUUUGCAACAUCUACUGCACAAAGUAACGAAUCAACUGCCACUGAGGGUGCAAUACAUGGGGUGCCAUUGAUUGAGAAAAUAACUUUCCAUCUUGUGAGGCUAGAAGAUGGUGUGAUCCUGGAUGAAAAGGCUUUCUGCAAUGAUUUUAUCAAUCUGGCACAUAGUAUUGGUGCUUACAUGUAUGAGGACCUGCUUUGUAUUGUUUCUUUGCGAUACCAAACAAUACAUAUCCUACAGAUACGAGAUUCAGGCAACCUUGUUGAGGUACGCAACAUUGGUGCAUUCUGUCGGGAAGAUGAUGAGCUAUUUCUUCACUCACAUAUUCAGACUGGUUAUGGGGGUUCUUUUCUUCCUGGCAUAAAGCAACGGUUGUUGUCAUAUAUUUUUUGCAAGACGUGGAAUGAGGUUCCAGAUCAGACUUUGAGGGUCCAACAUCUAAAGAAGAAGUUCUAUUUUCACUUCCAAGAUUAUGUUGAUCUUAUCAUAUGGAAGGUACAGUUUUUGGAUCGCCAUCACCUAUUUGUCAAGUUUGGUAGUGUGGAUGGAGGGGUUUCUCGGAGUACUGACCAAAACCUAGCAUUCUUUGCCGUGUACAACAUGGAGACAACAGAUAUCGUUUCACUUCAUCAGAAUUCUUCGGAGGAUAUCUAUGCCUUGUUUGAACAAUUUUAUGAUCAUUUUCAUGCAAAUCCACAAGCUUCAUCACAUGGAAAAUUUAUCUCCUCUCAUUCCAAUGAUAUUCAUGCUUUGGAUCAACUUCGGGUUAUAAAAAACAAAGCAAGUAGCUCCUCACAGUUUGUGAAAAAGAUGAUGACGUCAUUACCUUACACUUGCCAAUCACAAAGUCCUUCACCGUACUUCGACCUGUCUCUUUUUAGGUAUGAUGAGAAGCUGAUUUCAGCAAUUGAUCGGCAUCGGCAUUGCACAGAGCAUCCAAUAAAAUUUAUGUCAGUGAGGCAAAAUGUUGUCAAAUUUAAGAUCAAGCCAGGUUCAGAUUCUGGUGCUUCUGACAGCAGAGCAAAAAGAAUCUCGUCCUUCUUGUUUCACCCAUUUUUCCCGCUUGCACUUUCGAUUCAGCAGACUUAUAUGCAGCCAACUGUUGUCAACAUCCAUUUCAGGAGAUAGAAAAGAUGGACAAAUCUUGGAUCAACAGUAGGCUUUUUAGCGAGCAAUAUAUCACAGGAGUGAGGGGUUUUAUGAAGUUAAUUUCAGAGCGAUUUGAUGAUAGUGAGGAGGUACUAUGUCCAUGUAGAAAGUGUUUGAAUCGGCUUGCCAAACCUAAGUCACAGAUACAGGAUCAUUUAUAUAUUCAUGGAAUGGCGAGCACAUACACUACGUGGAUACAUCAUAGGGAGGAACAGUUGGAUGCUGAACUGAGUGAACAAGCUGGCCAUCUACAUGAACAUUAUAGUAUGAAUGAGGAUGUUUGUAUGAAUGGGCCUGAAAACCCUGAAGAUAGAUUGCCUGAUAUGGUACAAGAUUUUUUCAGAGCUGAAGAGGGAGGUGCACAAAAUUCUAUGUUUGCAGUUGUAUUGGAUGAGAUGAAGCAAGAACUUCACCCAGGCGCAUCAUACACAAGAUUUUCUUUUGUAGUGAAGUUACUUCAUAUCAAAUCUCGUUACCGGAUCAGUAAUGUUGCCUUCUCUGCUAUUCUAAAGUUGUUGUCAUUGGCUUUCCCACAUUGUUCUGUACCAACAUCUUAUAAGGAAGCUAAGAAACUUAUUAAAGCAUUGGGACUUGGAUAUGAGUCAAUCCAUGUGUGUCCUAACAAUUGUGUUUUGUUUCGAAAGGAUUAUGCAAAAAAUAAUGAGUGCCCAGUGUGUGGUUCAUCAAGAUGGAAAGAUGGUGAACAAAGAAAUAAGAGCCCUCAGAAGGUGUUGCGGCAUUUUCAUUUGAUUCCUAGAUUGAAGAGGAUGUUUGCUUCAGAAAAAACUCUGAGGAUGCACAAUGGCACAAGUUGAAGAGGAAAGAAGUGGAAAAUGAGCUUAGCCAUCCAGCUGAUGGUCAGGCAUGGAAAGACUUUGAUAGAAAACAUAAUUGGUUUGGAGAAGAUCCUAGAAAUAUAAGGCUUGGGCUUGCCACAGACGGUUUUAAUCCCUUUGGCAAAAUGAGCUCCUGUUACAGUAUGUGGCCAGUUUUUGCUAUCCUUUAUAACUUUCCUCCAUGGGUAUGUAUGGAGCAAUGGAACUUCAUGAUGUGUCUACUUAUCCCUGGUCGGGAAUGUCCGGGAAAAGAUUUUGAUGUAUUUCUACAACCACUAGUUGAUGAGUUACAACAACUUUGGUUGGGUGUUUCUACUUUUGAUGCAUUGAGUAGAAGGGAUUUUGAUCUACAUGCUGCUGUAAUCUGGUGUAUUCAUGACUAUCCUGGUUUGAGCACUUUGUCUGGUAGAGUUACAAGAGGAUACUAUGCUUGUGUACAUUGUGACAAAGAUCCUUGCUCUAAAAGAAUAAGAAAUAAAAUAUGUUAUAUAGGUCAUCGACGUUGGCUUCCACAUGACCAUCCAUGGAGGAAAAAGAAGGAUUAUGAUGGCCAAAUUGAGAAACGUGAGAAGCCGCAUCAAUUUAGUACCAAUGAGUUGAUGCAGCAAUUGGAAAGGGUCAAGGAAGUUAAACCAGGGAAACAUCCAAACAACAAUAAGAGGAAGCGAGAUGCAAAUGAUGGUCAAUGUUGGAAGAAACGAUCGUGCCUGUGGGAUUUGCCAUAUUGGACAGAUUUGAAGCUGCGCCAUAACCUUGAUGUAAUGCACAUUGAAAAAAAUAUAUGUGAGUCUUUGCUUGGUACAUUUCUUGCUCUUCCAGGAAAGUCAAAGGACAGUAUUAAUGCAAGGCUUGAUUUUGAAGACAUGUGCAUAAGAAAAGAUUUUACACUUGAAGCAUGAUGGAGGUUCCUAUGUGGUUCCUCAUGCCCCCUGUACAAUGGAUAAAAAUCAAAAGGUCGCAUUUUAUGAUUUUUUGAGAAGUGUAAAGUUUCCAGAUGGUUAUGCUUCUAACCUAGCAUCAUGCAUCACUGCUGAUGGAUGCAACCUCCAAGGCUUGAAAACUCAUGAUUGCCAUAUCAUACUUCAACGGAUUUUACCAGCUGCUCUCCGAGGAAUAAUGAACAAUGAAAUAUAUGUAGCAAUUGCUGAACUAGGUAACUUCUUCCAGCAACUAUGUGCUAGGACCCUUAAAUUAGAUGUUCUGCACCAAAUGAAAGAGAAUAUCCCAAUUGUCCUAUGCAAGCUUGAGAAAAUAUUCCCCCCCUCAUUGUUUGAUGUUAUGCUCCACUUGUCGAUACAUUUACCUGAUGAGGCAAUACUUAGAGGACCAGUCCAAUAUGGUUGUAUGUACCCCGUAGAAAGGAGGUUAUACACCUUGAAACAUUCUGUGAGGAAUAUGGCACGACCUGAGGGUUCAAUUGCAGAAGCAUAUGUUGCUAAUGAAUGUUUGCAUGCAUCUUCAAGGUAUUUUGAUGAUCUUGAGACAAGACACAAUUGUGAGGGAAGGAAUAGAUAGCAUGUUGAUAUGAGUAAGGGUGAUAUAUCUGUUUUCCAACAUGGAGUACAAUUACUUGGAGCCCCAAGGAUUACAUAUCUAGAUAAAGAUUAUGAUAAGAUGGUUUGGUAUGUGCUUAACAACUGUGUAGAGGUUGAUCCAUAUAUGGAUCUAUACAGAAAGGAGUUACAGAAUGAGGGAGGAUUUCCUGAUGUUGAAAAACAAGUAGAAAAACAAUUUUCUUCCUGGUUUAAAAAUUAUAUUGGAACACUUUGGCAUGAGCGAGGAGAAGAUCUCUGUUCUGAUCUAUUAGCUUUGUCAUGUGAACCUGAUCUGCGAAUAAGAGUUUAUUCAGCAUGUAUUGUUGAUGGUGUUCGAUACCACACUGUCGACCGUGAGAAAUAUAGGAGGACACAAAAUAGUGGUGUAAUGGCACAAGGCACACAUAAUGGUGAAGAUAUUGAAUUUUAUGGUUCCUUAAGAGAAAUAAUUCAGUUGCAAUAUAAUGCAGACAAGGGUGGACACCGGUGAGUGGUUAUUUUUCGAUGUGAUUGGUUUGACACAGAAAGCAAGAAGGGAAGAAUAAAAGAUGAUGGAUUAUUGAAAAGCAUCAACCGUUCUAGUUGUUGGUACAAAAAUGAUCCUUUCAUUCUUGCGCCACAGGCUACUAUGGUUUUUAUUUGCAAGACACCAAAUAUGGAGGUAGCUGGAGUGUAGUUCAAAAAUUUGCGCAUAGACACCUUUGGAAUGUUGAUGAAAAUUGUAGUGAUGAAAUACCAAAUGGUGUGUCGCUUUCUUACCAAGACGAUGAAUGUGUUGCUUCUAAUAUUCAGCAUACUGAAGUGGAUAUAAACAAUGAUAUUGUUGGGGUACAAAAUGUUGAUAUUAUAGAUGCAAGUGUAGUUGAAGAUCUACAUAGACAAAGGGAUGAAGAAGAUUAUUUUGAGGACGAAGAAGAUGAAACAGGAUGGCAAUAUGCCAGUGAUAAUGACGAGAGCAAUAUCCCAAAUGUUGUUGAUGAUAAUAGCGAUGACGACUAGAUGGGUGAUCUUGAAUGAGUUAGCAACAGACAUAACUGUGGACACUCUGAGUUCUGUUUUUAGUUGUAGUGUGUUGGACUGAGGACUGAAGUUUAUGCAAGUUGUGUGUGUCUCUUUUCUGUAAAAACUGAAGGUUAUGCAGUGUUCGUAAUGGUGCGGUUGUAUAUUAGACUGAAAAUCUUAUUUACGCACUUUCUUGUGUCUGUUUUCUAUAAA